CUUGGGAAUUCAUUUUUCCUUCGAUGAUAGCAAUCUGUCCAGGCCCUGAAGCAGCAAAGCAGCCCCAAACCAUGAUGCCCCCACCACCAUACUUGGGAUGAGGUUUUGAUGUUGGUGUGCUGUGCCUUUUUUUCGCCACACAUAGUGUUGUGUGUUUCUUCCAAACAACUCAACUUUGGUUUCAUCUGUCCACAGAAUAUUUUGCCAGUACUGCUGUGGAACAUCCAGG